rnacentral:rRNA from 1 species
GCUUACGGCCAUACCACCCUGAAUGUGCCCGAUCUCCUCUGAUCUCGAAGCUAAGCAGCAUCAGGCCUGGUUAGUACUUGCAUGUGUGACCGUCUGGGAAUACCAGGUGCUGUAAGCU